rnacentral:rRNA from 1 species
AACGUAGGAGGCAAGCGUUAUCCGGAUUUACUGGGCGUAAAGCGCGUGCAGGCGGUCCCAUAAGUGGGAGGUGAAAGCUCCCGGCUCAACUGGGAGAGGUCGUUCCAGACUGUGGGACUGGAGGGGGGUAGAGGGAGGCGGAAUUCCGGGUGUAGUGGUGAAAUGCGUAGAUAUCCGGAGGAACACCAGUGGCGAAAGCGGCCUCCUGGACCCCGCCUGACGCUCAGACGCGAAAGCUAGGGGAGCAAAC